UAGGAAGGGUGCAAGCGUUAGUCGGAAUUACUCGGAGUAAAGCGUGCGUAGGUGGUUCGUUAAGUCUGAUGUGAAAGAACUGGGCUCAACCUGGGAAUGGCAUUGGAAACUGGCGGACUGGAGUGCGGUAGAAGGUAGCGUAAUUCCCGGUGUAGCAGUGGAAUGCGUAGAGAUCGGGAGGAACAUCCGUGGCGAAGGAGGCUACCUGGACCAGCACUGACAAUGAGGCACGAAAGCGUGGGGAGCAAACAGG
rnacentral:rRNA from 1 species